rnacentral:piRNA from 1 species
UGUGUGUCUUGUUUCUUCCGA